rnacentral:rRNA from 1 species
CAGCCGCCACGGUAAUACAGAGGGUGCGAGCGUUAAUCGGAUUUACUGGGCGUAAAGCGUGCGUAGGCGGCUUCUUAAGUCGGAUGUGAAAUCCCUGAGCUUAACUUAGGAAUUGCAUUCGAUACUGGGAAGCUAGAGUAUGGGAGAGGAUGGUAGAAUUCCAGGUGUAGCGGUGAAAUGCGUAGAGAUCUGGAGGAAUACCGAUGGCGAAGGCAGCCAUCUGGCCUAAUACUGACGCUGAGGUACGAAAGCAUGGGGAGCAAACAGGAUUAGAGACCCGAGUAGUCCCUGUCUCUUAUAC